GGGUUGUGAGGUUAAGCGACUAAGCGUACACGGUGGAUGCCCUGGCAGUCAGAGGCGAUGAAGGACGUGCUAAUCUGCGAUAAGCGUCGGUGAGGUGAUAUGAACCGUUAUAACCGGCGAUUUCCGAAUGGGGAAACCCAGUGUGUUUCGACACACUAUCAUUAACUGAAUCCAUAGGUUAAUGAGGCGAACCGGGGGAACUGAAACAUCUAAGUACCCCGAGGAAAAGAAAUCAACCGAGAUUCCCCCAGUAGCGGCGAGCGAACGGGGAGGAGCCCAGAGCCUGAAUCAGUGUGUGUGUUAGUGGAAGCGUCUGGAAAGGCGCGCGAUACAGGGUGACAGCCCCGUACACAAAAAUGCACAUAUUGUGAGCUCGAUGAGUAGGGCGGGACACGUGGUAUCCUGUCUGAAUAUGGGGGGACCAUCCUCCAAGGCUAAAUACUCCUGACUGACCGAUAGUGAACCAGUACCGUGAGGGAAAGGCGAAAAGAACCCCGGCGAGGGGAGUGAAAAAGAACCUGAAACCGUGUACGUACAAGCAGUGGGAGCCUCUUUAUGGGGUGACUGCGUACCUUUUGUAUAAUGGGUCAGCGACUUAUAUUCUGUAGCAAGGUUAACCGAAUAGGGGAGCCGAAGGGAAACCGAGUCUUAACUGGGCGUUAAGUUGCAGGGUAUAGACCCGAAACCCGGUGAUCUAGCCAUGGGCAGGUUGAAGGUUGGGUAACACUAACUGGAGGACCGAACCGACUAAUGUUGAAAAAUUAGCGGAUGACUUGUGGCUGGGGGUGAAAGGCCAAUCAAACCGGGAGAUAGCUGGUUCUCCCCGAAAGCUAUUUAGGUAGCGCCUCGUGAAUUCAUCUCCGGGGGUAGAGCACUGUUUCGGCAAGGGGGUCAUCCCGACUUACCAACCCGAUGCAAACUGCGAAUACCGGAGAAUGUUAUCACGGGAGACACACGGCGGGUGCUAACGUCCGUCGUGAAGAGGGAAACAACCCAGACCGCCAGCUAAGGUCCCAAAGUCAUGGUUAAGUGGGAAACGAUGUGGGAAGGCCCAGACAGCCAGGAUGUUGGCUUAGAAGCAGCCAUCAUUUAAAGAAAGCGUAAUAGCUCACUGGUCGAGUCGGCCUGCGCGGAAGAUGUAACGGGGCUAAACCAUGCACCGAAGCUGCGGCAGCGACACUAUGUGUUGUUGGGUAGGGGAGCGUUCUGUAAGCCUGUGAAGGUGGCCUGUGAGGGUUGCUGGAGGUAUCAGAAGUGCGAAUGCUGACAUAAGUAACGAUAAAGCGGGUGAAAAGCCCGCUCGCCGGAAGACCAAGGGUUCCUGUCCAACGUUAAUCGGGGCAGGGUGAGUCGACCCCUAAGGCGAGGCCGAAAGGCGUAGUCGAUGGGAAACAGGUUAAUAUUCCUGUACUUGGUGUUACUGCGAAGGGGGGACGGAGAAGGCUAUGUUGGCCGGGCGACGGUUGUCCCGGUUUAAGCGUGUAGGCUGGUUUUCCAGGCAAAUCCGGAAAACCAAGGCUGAGG
rnacentral:rRNA from 1 species